GACGAACGCUGGCGGCGUGCCUAACACAUGCAAGUCAACGAGAAACGGGUAGCAAUAUCCGGAGUACAGUGGCGCACGGGUGAGUAACGCGUAGGCAAUUUGCCUUCAGGACGGGGACAACUCCGAGAAAUCGGGGCUAAUACCCGACGAUGCAGCGGGAUCGCAUGGUCCUGUUGUUAAAGGCCCGAAAGGGUGCCCGAAGAUGAGCCUGCGUCCCAUUAGGUAGUUGGUGAGGUAACGGCUCACCAAGCCUGCGAUGGGUAGCUGGUCUGAGAGGAUGAUCAGCCACACUGGAACUGAGACACGGUCCAGACUCCUACGGGAGGCAGCAGUGAGGAAUAUUGCGCAAUGGCCGAAAGGCUGACGCAGCGACGCCGCGUGAAGGAUGAAGUCCGUUAGGACGUAAACUUCUUUUGCAGGGGAUGAAUGUUCCCGAUUUAUCGGGAAUUGACCGUACCCUGCGAAUAAGGAUCGGCCAACUACGUGCCAGCCGCCGCAGUAAAAC
rnacentral:rRNA from 1 species